CUCAAAGUGAUACCUGAUCUAGUCCCGCCCCCUCAGCCACAAUCAGCACGAUCACGUUCCCAAAUGCAACAGUGAGCAGCCAGCCAGCCUGCAGCACAGACUUCAUGUUGUUUGGAGCCUGGAGGACAGGUAAACGGAGUAGGUACCAGAAUGGCUGUACAUUUGCAGAUUUGGCUGACUACUGAGGGAGCGAUCCCAUUGGCCGGGCUGAUCAAGACCGGGUCGCGGGGGCAGCAGACUCAGCAGAGACGCCCAGACGUCCCUCUCCCC